rnacentral:rRNA from 1 species
UACGGAAGGGGCUAGCGUUGUUCGGAAUUACUGGGCGUAAAGAGCGCGUAGGCGGCUUACCAAGUUGGGGGUGAAAUCCCGGAGCUCAACUCCGGAACUGCCUUCAAAACUGGUAGGCUCGAGUCCGGAAGAGGGGCGUGGAAUUCCCAGUGUAGAGGUGAAAUUCGUAGAUAUUGGGAAGAACACCGGUGGCGAAGGCGGCGCCCUGGUCCGGUACUGACGCUGAGAAGCGAAAGCAUGGGUAGCGAACGGG